rnacentral:tRNA from 1 species
GCCGGGGUGGUGGAAUCGGUAGACACGCGGGUCUCAAAAACCCGUGGCCGCAAGGCCGUGACGGUUCGAGUCCGUCCCUCGGUA